rnacentral:lncRNA from 1 species
CACUUUAUUUUAGGAUGAAGGGAGGGAAUAGAUGGUGACGGUGAGAUGGAGCUGCCCACCGUCGUGCAGGUAUCUUGUUUUAAUGGCAGGUCAUAUGGAUUCCCGUAGUUUAUAUAAAGAAAAAUAAUAUACAAGUAAUAAUGCAGGGUGGGUCUACAACUCAAACUAAUUAAUUAAUACAACCCCCAAAUGUGGGACAAAUUAAAAUCUGAUAAAAAAUUAAAUGUCAUUCUGCAUAAAUUUGUAGAGCUUACAAACUUUGGUACACAUGGACGACGAACGGAAAAGGAAAAAACAAAACUGGCCGCCC